UCAAACCUCCAGUCUGUCCCCAGACCGAUCCCCGGCCUCCAUCCGCCCACCGCCCCAGCCCUAACCACGUGCAGCCGAGGCCAUCUGGUGAAUAGUCUUUCCAGCGGAUGGAGUAGGGCGCCUGCGCGGUCUGUGGCCCAGCCAGCAAAGGGUCCAGCACAGAGCAGGAGUUCUGGACACAGAGGAACGUGGGACUGGAUUAAGGAAGGAAGCGUGUGCGUAAGAGAGGGAGCCAUCACGCACCUGGCCUGGGGGCGGGUUGCCGCCAAUGAAGUUGAUGGAUUGAAGCUCCAGGUCCCCAUCCACCUGCAGGGAGAAGACGCCGGGGUGAAGGGUCAGCGUGAAGAUGAAGACGACCAAGAGUCAGGGAUGCACAUAAAUAGCCCGAGGGUCAGGUUGGGAGCAAAUCAGGCUUCAGGGUGAGUAUUGGCUAAGUCAGACCCCAGGGUAAGGGGGGGUGCUUCUCAGGAUCAGGGUGAGAGUAAAUUGGUGUGUGAGGUUCAGGAUGGAGCUAUGCUGGGACCCAUGGUUGGGUCCUGGGUCACCAUCUUACCGGAUUGUAAGUGGGCUGGUAGCCAGGUGCAGGGACAUAGGCCAUCUUGAGAGGCUGGGCUGGUGGCUCGUCCCGGAAGAGAUGCAGCAGUGGGCAAUGUCGGCAGAUAGCAGGUGGUGGGUGGCUCUUAUACCUGAGGGAAAGGGAGUGGCUGGCAGGGCAGGGUCCAUGGGUUCCUCUUCUGGGCAUCCGAGGCUCACAUCUUUUUCUAGGGCAGCCGCUUGUGUCCUUUCUGUUGUUAGCCUUCCUGGCCACCAGCUAGAACCCAGAUCCUCUCAGCUAGGCUGGGAGGUGGGGGCGGCUGGGGGAAGGGGGCUACACUUUAGCUCUUUCUGCAAAGGGAAGUGCUAGUGAACUUUGGCCCUGCCAGGGCCUUAUCAGAGCCCAUAAAAUCCUGCCCAGGCCUUUGUUAACAGAGGGAGGGUACGACCAGGAGGGCUGGGCAGGGCAAGGUUGCAGGAGUGGCCCAUGACAGAUGGGCAAAGGAAGUGAAAGCGGGGAAGGACGGGUGCUCUGGACAGCCCUAGGAACUGGGAAAGGGACUACACUUAUUGCAUGCCCACUACAUGCCCAAUCCAUGUACAUUAGAUUGUAGGUAUAGUCGUUUAGGCCAUAAUUUCUAGAGCCAGAGGUUCUGGGUUCAAAUCUUGCCUUGACCGCUUCCUGACUGUUCCAUCUUGGCUCAGUACCUUAGCCUCAAUUUCCCCAUUUGCCCUUCUGAAAAAUGGGGAUUCUAGUAGUAUCAACGUCAUAGAAGCCUGGAAAGGAAUCACUAAGAUAAUAAAUGCGCAGAACAGGACUUGGCAUACAGAAGGCACUAAAUUAAUCCUUGGCCUCUUGCACGCAUUCCAAACAUAAACCCAGGAGGUUCGGAUUAUAUAUGGACAUGAAAACCUGAAAUCUAAAGAGAAGAGGCAGGGGUGACUGGCUGGCUCAGCUGGUAGAGCACGUAAGCCCUUAAUCUCAGGGUGGUGAGUUCAAGCCCCACCUUGAGCCUGGAGCCUACUUAAAAAAGAAAAGAAAAAGAAAUGAGGCAGUUGGCCCAAGACUGGGUAGCAGCGGAACUCCAGCCAGACUCGGGCGUCAGCUCACACCAGGCUGUGCAAUGAGUGGAUGCCAGGCAGGGUGAACACCGCCCUCACGCCUGGAGCAGGCAGGGAGACCAUCUGGAGCCUUCCGGCUGGGAGGCAGCUGCCAGACUUUUUUAUAGGCCCUGGCACGUCCACCGCCAGCGCUGAAUGGCAUCACCUGCACGGCUCCCGUGCUCAUUGGUCAAAUCUCCAUCCCCAACCUUCUGCGCAGCUGCGGUCCUGGGACACCCCCAGGGACGUCGCAGCUCCUUUCUGCCUCUGCUCUUUUCAAUGAAGACACCAGCUUCGUUAAGCUGCUUUAUUGUUAAGUUGCUUUAUUGUUCGGGUGAAGAUAAGGCCCUGGGCAUGAGGAAAUCAGAGUUAGGUUAGAAACUGGGAGAUCAAGGGAGAAGGCACCAGGCGACCAUCUUUACUAACUCUCCCUCUCUGGGGAUGAGGAAAUGGGCGUGAGGUGGGAGGCAGCCAGACCCUGGGCCUCGGUGGCUCUCAGAGCUUGGAGAAGGUGAC